AUGGAGGAGUACAAGCACUUUGUGCGCUUCCGCCUCGACGCCGCGACGCGCGAGCUGCACGCGUACGUCGUCGCGGUGCAAAAGCCGUCGAAGGUGUACCAACUCGACCGUGGUUACCUGUGGAGCCUGACGAGCCCAGGCCUUGAGGAGCACCGGCCACCACACCUGAAGCAGCACCCGAGUCGAUGGGGGCCGGUGCUGAGCGACGCGCGGUGCAAACGUCCCAUGACCGAAGUUCUCGAGCAUUUUACGGUCCGCCCGCACCGCGUCCCGCAGCGGACGAAGCAGCCGAUGGCGGAUUCGGAAUAAGUGUUGAUGGGCCAAUCCCGCAGCAACACACACGCACACACACUUGCAUACACACACAAAGAUUCCUCACGCGAGCACAACCUCCCCACGCCUGCCUGUUUCUCUGGCUCUCCUCCUUCGUGCACAUGGAGUGACAAUGAGGGAAGGCCUACCCCGCUGUCCCCCCUCCCUCCCUCACAGCAACACCGGAGACGGACUGGAACCGUUCUCGGAGAGGGCACCGCGCCUGCUCGUUCUUUACACCUGCGAGAGAUGCAGGCCGAGAGCAUGCCUCUGCCUGCUGUAACGGGAGAGGUGCAUAGGAUAUGUGGGCUGAAACCGAAGCGAGAGGGCAGGGGAUGCAGGCACAGGCGCCUGGCGCCGCCACUUACACCAACGAGUGCUGGUUUUUUUUUCAUGCGUGCUUGGCAUUGUAUGAGUUCUGAGCGAGUGGAACCAUUCUCGAAGGGGCCAUGCGCCGCGGGCGCGCCUGUAGCGAUGAUGAUGCGUGUUUGCGUGGGCGAGUGCACUUCGCAGCUGCUGCGGGCGCGUCAUCACUGGCCGGAGUUGGUGGAAUGUGGCGUGUCUCCCCUCGCCUUGGUCGCGUGAUUCUUACCUUUCACGCCUCCGUCGUGACCAGAGCAAUGACGCGCACACGCAAACACACACAACCCCCCCCCCUUCCCCUCUCUGCGCAUCCUCUCCGGCAUUGCUCUUGAUCUCUCCUCCCUGUCGCACCACAAAACGCGCUCUCUUCAUGAUGCGGCACCGCAAG
rnacentral:misc_RNA from 1 species